rnacentral:rRNA from 1 species
UACGGAGGAUCCAAGCGUUAUCCGGAAUCAUUGGGUUUAAAGGGUCCGUAGGCGGUUUAGUAAGUCAGUGGUGAAAGCCCAUCGCUCAACGGUGGAACGGCCAUUGAUACUGCUAGACUUGAAUUAUUAGGAAGUAACUAGAAUAUGUAGUGUAGCGGUGAAAUGCAUAGAGAUUACAUGGAAUACCAAUUGCGAAGGCAGGUUACUACUAAAACAUUGACGCUGAUGGACGAAAGCGUGGGUAGCGAACAGG